UACAGAGGAUGCGAGCGUUAUCCGGAUUUAUUGGGUUUAAAGGGUGCGUAGGCGGACUGUCAAGUCAGCGGUAAAAUACGGGGGCUCAACCUCCGCCCGCCGUUGAAACUGACGGUCUUGAGUGGGCGAGAAGUAUGCGGAAUGCGUGGUGUAGCGGUGAAAUGCAUAGAUAUCACGCAGAACUCCGAUUGCGAAGGCAGCAUACCGGCGCCCAACUGACGCUGAAGCACGAAAGCGUGGGUAUCGAACAGG
rnacentral:rRNA from 1 species